rnacentral:tRNA from 1 species
GAGGGUAUUGCUUAGUGGUAAAGUGCUGUGCUUAGCAUGCAUGAGGUCCUGAGUUCAAUCCCCAGUACCACUU